CGCUGGUCAAUGCGGUUACCCCCCUUGUUGGGAUAUCGGAAUACCGGUGAUGA
rfam:Lactobacillus delbrueckii subsp. bulgaricus ATCC 11842 complete genome